AUCCCUGUAGCGCAAUGGAUAGCGCGUUGGGCUUCUAUUUCAAAGGUUGUGGAUUCGAAUACCACCUGGGAUG